rnacentral:rRNA from 1 species
ACGGGAGGCAGCAGUGGGGAAUAUUGGACAAUGGGGGAAACCCUGAUCCAGCGACGCCGCGUGAGUGAAGAAGUAUUUCGGUAUGUAAAGCUCUAUCAGCAGGGAAGAUAAUGACGGUACCUGACUAAGAAGCCCCGGCUAACUACGUGCCAGCAGCCGCGGUAAUACGUAUGGAGCAAGCGUUAUCCGGAUUUACUGGGUGUAAAGGGAGCGUAGACGGCAAAGCAAGUCUGAAGUGAAAUCUAUGGGCUUAACCCAUAAAUUGCUUUGGAAACUGUUUAGCUAGAGUGCAGGAGAGGUAAGUGGAAUUCCUAGUGUAGCGGUGAAAUGCGUAGAUAUUAGGAGGAACACCAGUGGCGAAGGCGGCUUACUGGACUGUAACUGACGUUGAGGCUCGAAAGCGUGGGGAGCAAACAGGAUUAGAUACCCUGGUA